rnacentral:rRNA from 1 species
CGCAUCUGUGCAUGCAGCAUAUCAAUAAGCGGAGGAAAAGAAACUAACAAGGAUUCCCUUAGUAACGGCGAGUGAAGCGGGAAGAGCUCAAAUUUGAAAUCUUCAAGGUUUUACCUUGACGAGUUGUAGUUUAAAGAAGUGUUUUCUGCUGAAGUUUUGGUAAAAGUUCUUUGGAAUAGGACAUCAUAGAGGGUGAGAAUCCCGUAUUUGACCAUUAUUUUCAGCUUUGUGAUACACUUUCAAAGAGUCGGAUUGUUUGGGAAUGCAGUCCAAAAUGGGUGGUAAAUUUCAUCUAAAGCUAAAUAUUGGCGAGAGACCGAUAGCGAACAAGUACCGUGAGGGAAAGAUGAAAAGAACUUUGAAAAGAGAGUUAAACAGUACGUGAAAUUGUCAAAAGGGAAGCGUUUGACACCAGUGUUGUUUUCUCGAAAAUCAAUUAAAAAUGGCUCGAUUUUGUAUUGCUUGAGACCUUAAAAGCUCACUGUACAUUUUUCGUGUCUUUUUUAAUGCACUUUUCGUUUAACAAGUCAACAUCAGUUUCUUUUGUUGUAAAAGGGUCAUUGGAAGGUGGCUUUCUUUUCGGAGAAAGUGUUUAUAGCCUUUGGCCUCUGCAAUCGGAGAGACUGAGGUCUGCAGCGUAGACUCUUCGGGGUUAGAUACAUUUGUGCUAAGUUAUAGCUUUUUCAUAGACAACUUGUUGACUAUAAUUAGUCUUGUAGCUUACUCGCUUAUGCUAUUUUACCUACGCUUAGGAUGUUGACGCAUGAGAUAUACGC